rnacentral:rRNA from 1 species
UACGUAUGGAGCAAGCGUUAUCCGGAUUUACUGGGUGUAAAGGGAGCGUAGGCGGUAAGGCAAGUCUGAUGUGAAAGGCCGGGGCUCAACCCUGGGACUGCAUUGGAAACUGUUUAACUGGAGUGUCGGAGAGGCAAGUGGAAUUCCUAGUGUAGCGGUGAAAUGCGUAGAUAUUAGGAGGAACACCAGUGGCGAAGGCGGCUUGCUGGACGAUGACUGACGCUGAGGCUCGAAAGCGUGGGGAGCAAACAGG